rnacentral:rRNA from 1 species
AUGGAUUGCUCAAUCUUAAGCUGGAAUGUUAGAGGUUUGAACAACCCUGCGAAACGGCGGGCGGUACAGAUGUUUGUGGCUGAGACCAAGUGCAACAUCGUGUGUCUACAAGAGACCAAGAUUGAGGCCAUGACCAGGCCUUUGGUGAUGGAGACCUUGGGGCCACGAUUUGCUGAUAAUUUCCUGGAGAUGCCGACUCAAGGCUCCAGAGGUGGCAUUUUGUUAGCGUGCUUGGAAGGAUUGGAGAUUUCUGAAAAUAAUUUGGCGGCGGGGGACUACUCUGUUUCGGGCACCAUUACGAGCAGAGCUGAUGGAGCCACGUGGUCGAUUACAGGAGUUUACGGACCGCAGGCUGAGGGAGACAAGGUGCUGUUCAUGGAAGAGUUACGAAGGAUUAAGCAACACACGCUGUCAAGAUGGAUGCUCCUGGGGGAUUUCAACAUGAUUUACAAAGCAAGUGAGAAGAGCAAUAACAACAUUAACUUGAGGCUGAUGGGCAGGUUCAGAGCCAUGAUUGAGGAUCUCGAGUUGAUCGAUUUUCCGCUGUUGGGAAGAAGGUUUACAUGGUCCAAUGAACGACAGAACAUCACCCUUACCAAAAUAGAUAGGGUGUUGGUUACCAAUGAUUGGGAAGCCGCUUUCCCACAUUAUCAGUUGUCCCCUGCCUCUACAAAUGUUUCUGAUCAUUGCCCCUUGAUCCUCAAGAAAAUGGAGGCAGCACACUACAAGGCCUUUCGUUUUGAGAAUCACUGGCUGAAAUGCCCGGAGUUUGACGGUAUUGUAACCCAAGCUUGGUCUAAAGAAGUCAAAUCUGGUGAUCCGAUCAGGGUGCUGCACACGAAGCUAUAUAGGACUGCUAGAGCGCUGAAAGAGUGGAACAAGCAUAAAAAGAGGGACAUGGUCUUCCUCUCGGGGGUGGCAAAUGAGGUCAUUUUCAUGCUGGACUUGGCGCAGGAGGAAAGAGAGCUUUCAGAGGGGGAGAGGAAUGUACGGGCUAUGCUAAAGGCAAAAUUGUUGGGUUUUGCAGCAGUCGACAGAGCGCGGUGGAGGCAGAAAUCGCAAUUGACAGAGAUCAAGGAGGGGGAUGCCAGCACGCGCUUUUUCCAUCUCAGAGCUAGUGGAAGAAGGCGCAAGAAUUACAUUCCAACUUUAAAGGGGCGUGACGGGCUGGUAUCUGAUCAUGCAAGCAAGGCGAAGCUGCUGUUCGACAGAUUUCGGGAGCUCAUGGGAUCCCCUCAUGGGCGAUCGGCGGGGCUGAAUUGGGAGGAACUGGGUUGCCAAGAGACAGUCUGGAGCAGUUGGAGGUUGCUUUCACUGAACAAGAACUACACGCAGCGAUCAAUGAUUUGCAUGGGGAAAAGGCACCCGGCCCGGAUGGAUUUACGGGAGCUUUUUUCAAACACUGCUGGUCCACUAUCAAGGGGGAUAUACUAG